rnacentral:rRNA from 1 species
AUGCACGCUGGCGGCGUGCCUAAUACAUGCAAGUCGAGCGAACGGACGAGAAGCUUGCUUUUCUGAUGUUAGCGGCGGACGGGUGAGUAACACGUGGAUAACCUACCUAUAAGACUGGGAUAACUUCGGGAAACCGGAGCUAAUACCGGAUAAUAUUUUGAACCGCAUGGUUCAAUAGUGAAAGACGGUCUUGCUGUCACUUAUAGAUGGAUCCGCGCUGCAUUAGCUAGUUGGUAAGGUAACGGCUUACCAAGGCAACGAUGCAUAGCCGACCUGAGAGGGUGAUCGGCCACACUGGAACUGAGACACGGUCCAGACUCCUACGGGAGGCAGCAGUAGGGAAUCUUCCGCAAUGGGCGAAAGCCUGACGGAGCAACGCCGCGUGAGUGAUGAAGGUCUUCGGAUCGUAAAACUCUGUUAUUAGGGAAGAACAUAUGUGUAAGUAACUGUGCACAUCUUGACGGUACCUAAUCAGAAAGCCACGGCUAACUACGUG